rnacentral:rRNA from 1 species
UACAGAGGUCCCGAGCGUUGUUCGGAUUCAUUGGGCGUAAAGGGUGCGUAGGCGGCGGGGUAAGUUUGAUGUGAAAUCCCGGGGCUCAACCCUGGAAUUGCAUUGAAUACUACCUUGCUAGGGUACCGGAGAGGAAACUGGAAUUUACGGUGUAGCAGUGAAAUGCGUAGAGAUCGUAAGGAAGACCAGUGGCGAAGGCGAGUUUCUGGACGGUAACUGACGCUGAGGCACGAAGGCCAGGGGAGCAAACGGG